GGCUGGUCUGAAGGUAGUGAGUUAUCUCAAUUGUUCACAGUUAGUUAGAGGUUGAAUGCCCUGUUCUACUCUUUCCCCUUUCUCACUGCUGCACUUGACUAGUCUUUA
ensembl:misc_RNA Y_RNA Y RNA